UACGAGGGCCCCAAGCGUUAUCCGGAUUUAUUGGGCGUAAAGCGUCCGUAGGUGGUUUAUCGCAUCUCCUGUUAAAUCUCGAGGCUCAACCUCGAGUCAGCGGGAGAGAUGGACAAACUAGAGACUGGAAGAGGUAUAUGGAAUUGCUGGUGUAGGGGUUAAAUCCAUUAAUAUCAGCAAGAACACCAAAUGCGAAGGCAAUAUACUAGGACAGUUUUGACACUCAGUGGACGAAAGCGUGGGGAGCGAAUGGG
rnacentral:rRNA from 1 species